CUUUAGCCCUGAUGGAAGCGGCAUCCUUUUUAUCUCGUCUUUUUUGACGAGAUAAAAAGAUAUAGCGGACAGCAGGAAUUUUG
rnacentral:sRNA from 1 species